UAUUUAUUAUUAUAGAUAACUUGUAUUCUGUAGUUUGAUAAAAUUCCUGCUUUUCUUACAUAUGGGCUCCAGAUUGCAAUCAGACUUAAGAGCUAAUCUUUCUGGGCUACUUGCCAACAUAGUGAAAGGGUAUUUUAGAGGUCAGCAGUGAAUAGACUAUUUGGAUCAAGAUAGGUGUAUGAAAAUAAGUUUUACCUUUAUCACUGCUAGGAGAGUGGAGUAGAAAGGGGAAAAAAGGGCUUGGACAUAUUUUGUGUUAUUCUUUUAGAUGAAUUCCAAUAUAAUGUUAAAUUGAGCAAGAUUUAUCAUCUACAAGCAAUUCAAAAUAAACCAAGUACAAUAAUUUUAUGUAAUGUAGAACUAUGUAAUGAUUAGUUAUACUUCUGCCAUUAUACUAAUAGUAUCUGAGCUUUCUUAAGAAAGCUUCUCAUGUUUUAUUUUUUACUCUUAGAUAAAUGGGAAUUCAUGUAUACAUGUAUUAAAUAGAAUUAAUUGCAUAAAUUACAUGUAAGUAUCAUAGUAGACCAACUUUUUUCAGCUGCUCCAGAAGUGGAAAAAAACGAUUUUAUUAUUCAACUUAACAAGUGCUAUAUUUCAGUCGAUACUUUUUAUUAACUUCCUGAGUUAUAACUAGCAAAUUUUUUUCUUGGUCUGGUUUAGAGAAAUUCUAAAUAAAAGGUAAACAGCCUUUUGGGGGGCACAGGACUAUGCUCAACCUUGCCGGGGAUUGUCAUGGACUGCAAUUCAAAAAGCAGAAGCCGGUUGGGAAGAUUGCAAAUGGUGAUGACAUGACCCUGGGAUGCUGUAACCAUUGUAAAUACAUGCCAAGCACCUGAAUUUUGAUCCAUGUGAUUGUGGAGAUUCUACGGCAGUUGAAGUUGAAUUCUGCGCUCGUUCUUCUAGCCAAUAAAUGAAUGGCAGAAAUGUCGCCUUGGCAGAAAUAAAGGAGAUCAAAGCCAGCUGCUGGAAAGGAGAUCUAGUUUAUUCAGAAGCGAACUACUCGGCAUCAGUUCUGGGACACCUGACAUCCUGGUUUGGUGAGCAGAUGGAUUUUUAUAUGGUUUCUGAGCUUUUAAUUGAAAUAUCCAGAUUUGGUGAGCAUGGGCUUGUAUGUGUGUUUUUUAAUAUUUUAAUUGUGGUGGGCCAGCUCCUUAUUGAGGUUGAGGAGUUAUGUUCUGCACUCUAGGUCAAGUGAGGGAAUGUAGAUUAAAUGUUAUUGUUUGUGUUUUAAUCCCUUUAGUCUUCGACUUCUUGUGAAACCUGUAGCCGGCAAUCAUUCUGUUUGUGAGUAGGCUAUAGCCUGCAGCA